GAUGAACGCUGGCGGCAUGCCUAAUACAUGCAAGUCGAGCGAACGGACGAGAAGCUUGCUUCUCUGAUGUUAGCGGCGGACGGGUGAGUAACACGUGGAUAACCUACCUAUAAGACUGGGAUAACUUCGGGAAACCGGAGCUAAUACCGGAUAAUAUUUUGAACCGCAUGGUUCAAAAGUGAAAGACGGUCUUGCUGUCACUUAUAGAUGGAUCCGCGCUGCAUUAGCUAGUUGGUAAGGUAACGGCUUACCAAGGCAACGAUGCAUAGCCGACCUGAGAGGGUGAUCGGCCACACUGGAACUGAGACACGGUCCAGACUCCUACGGGAGGCAGCAGUAGGGAAUCUUCCGCAAUGGGCGAAAGCCUGACGGAGCAACGCCGCGUGAGUGAUGAAGGUCUUCGGAUCGUAAAACUCUGUUAUUAGGGAAGAACAUAUGUGUAAGUAACUAUGCACAUCUUGACGGUACCUAAUCAGAAAGCCACGGCUAACUACGUG
rnacentral:rRNA from 1 species